UACAGAGGGUGCAAGCGUUAAUCGGACUUACUGGGCGUAAAGGGCGCGUAGGCGGAAUGCUAAGUCGGAUGUGAAAAGCCAAGGCUUAACCUUGGUCGUGCAUUCGAUACUGGUAAUCUAGAGUCUUGGAGAGGGAAGUGGAAUUUCCGGUGUAGCGGUGAAAUGCGUAGAUAUCGGAAGGAACACCAGUGGCGAAGGCGACUUCCUGGCCAAAGACUGACGCUGAUGCGCGAAAGCGUGGGUAGCAAACAGG
rnacentral:misc_RNA from 1 species